CACUCCAGUGGCCUAGUGGUUAGAGCAUCUGUCUCUGAUGUGGGAGGUCGUGGUUCGAAUCUCCAGCUGAGUCA